rnacentral:lncRNA from 1 species
GUUAAACCAAAAUGAUGGGAAAACACCAAUACAAACCAAAUAAAAUGACUAUGACCUUAAACAGUAACAAGUUCAAAUGGAAUUAAAAACCAAACACAAAAAUCAACACAAACACCGACAAUAGAAAAAGGAAAUAGAAAAAAACACAAAACAGUCAAUAAAAAGGAAAAUAAAACAACAACACAAAUACCGUUAAUAGAAAAACGUUUAAAGGAAAUAAAAC